rnacentral:rRNA from 1 species
GAUCAUGGCUCAGGAUGAACGCUAGCUACAGGCUUAACACAUGCAAGUCGAGGGGAAACGACAUCGAAAGCUUGCUUUGAUGGGCGUCGACCGGCGCACGGGUGAGUAACGCGUAUCCAACCUGCCCACCACUUGGGGAUAACCUUGCGAAAGUAAGACUAAUACCCAAUGAUAUCCCACGAAGGCAUCGGAAUGGGAUUAAAGAUUUAUCGGUGAUGGAUGGGGAUGCGUCUGAUUAGCUUGUUGGCGGGGUAACGGCCCACCAAGGCAACGAUCAGUAGGGGUUCUGAGAGGAAGGUCCCCCACAUUGGAACUGAGACACGGUCCAAACUCCUACGGGAGGCAGCAGUGAGGAAUAUUGGUCAAUGGGCGAGAGCCUGAACCAGCCAAGUAGCGUGCAGGAUGACGGCCCUAUGGGUUGUAAACUGCUUUUAUAAGGGAAUAAAGUUAGUCUCGUGAGACUUUUUGCAUGUACCUUAUGAAUAAGGACCGGCUAAUUCCGUG